UACGGGGGGGGCGAGCGUUGUCCGAAGUUACUGGGCGUAAAGCGCGUGUAGGCGGGUUGUUAAGUCCGCUGUGAAAGCCCGGUGCUCAACGCCGGAGGGUUGGUGGAUACUGGCAGUCUUGAAGUGGCUAGGGGGAAAUGGAAUUACCGGUGUAGCGGUGAAAUGCGUAGAUAUCGGUAGGAACACCAGUGGCGAAGGCGGUUUCCUGGAGCCCACUUGACGCUGAGACGCGAAAGCUGGGGGAGCAAACGGG
rnacentral:rRNA from 1 species